rnacentral:misc_RNA from 1 species
UCCGGCUUAUCACCGGCAGUCCCUUUAGAGUGCCCAACUUAAUGAUGGCAACUAAAGGCGAGGGUUGCGCUCGUUGCGGGACUUAACCCAACAUCUCACGACACGAGCUGACGACAGCCAUGCAGCACCUGUGUUCCCGCCAGCCGAACUGAAGGAUCCCGUCUCCGGGACCCAUACGGGACAUGUCAAGGGUUGGUAAGGUUCUGCGCGUUGUAUCGAAUUAAACCACAUGCUCCACCGCUUGUGCAGGCCCCCGUCAAUUCCUUUGAGUUUCGGUCUUGCGACCGUACUCCCCAGGCGGGGUGCUUAAUGCGUUAGCGACGGCACGGAGAGGGUUGAUGCUCCCCACACCUAGCACCCAACGUUUACGGCUGGGACUAC